GCCUCCUUGAUUUGUCAAAUUUGAAAGGAGGCUUUCAGACAUUUUUUAUACACAGUGCUCCUUACUUCUACUCUCCAUAUGGAUAACGAAAAGUAAAAACUAGGUCUGCGUCUAUUGAUCAUUUCUUGUGAUCCGAGUUGCCUGCAGAGAGCGAGUCAAAAUUUCUUUCUGUUGGUCCACGCUCCGACUGAUAACAGUUUUUAAAAAUGGCAAAUCUCUUUCCGACAGUUCAAAAAGUGGUCCAUACAAAAUUAGCAGCUUGAUUGUAAAGUCAAAAACCGAAACGGUCUUUGGAGCUCUUCAGCAUAACGUAAAUGGGGGCAUUUUUCUAUGGACGACAGGCAUGAACUUAAAGCUCUAAAAUCUAUGAGCUCAGGAAUUUACUCAAUAUUGAUGUUGCCUAUAUUAUUAAAUAAACACAGGAGCAAAAUA